rnacentral:lncRNA from 1 species
GAUGUCAAUGAACGGAAUGUGGGCUAUGUUGGGCCAAUCCUCUCCUCUCACUUUCUCACACCGUCUUUUCAGGUGGGGGCAUCCUCUGAUUCUUAGUGUUUCCAGAGCAUUGAGGUUACGUACCCCUUGGGGCAAUGACAUCAAAUUAGAGCAAUACGAAAUCUCCAAUAAUGAAAGCAAGGUGAGGUGUUGCAUCUCAUCUGGGAGAGAAAUUAAACCCCUACAACACCUAAUCUGCAGAUAUCGAAGAGAAGAGAGGUGUUGGAUACUCCUUGGCAAUGAGGUCAACUCUGGACAUCCAUUAAUAAGUAAGUCUUGGAGUGAAGUCAGAUAUCCCACACCCUCAGAUAAAGAGGCUAAUGUCUUACAAUUUUGAAUCCGUAGUGAAGAUAAGGAAGAUAAGCCUUGCAAUCCAUUUACCGGAAGGGAUACAAGGCUGUCACAACAAUUUAAAGACAAAGUUUUUAAAGAGCUGAGGUUUUGUAGUCCUGCAGGCAAGCUUUCAAUUGAGCAAUCUUGAAUAUACAGCUGUUUAAGGCAGGAUAGAUUAUCCAGCAUAUCGGAUGAAGACUUUAGACAACAAAAAGAAACAAGUUGCUUUUGAUUUUGCAGUAGUCCAUCUGGUAACUCGUUGAAGCCACUAAUCUGGAGAGAGGUAAGAACAGUGGCACUCAUAAUCAAAGGUGUGAGUAAAGUAACAUUAGUUUCUCCAAUCUGUAGCUGUUUUAGAGAUUGAAUCAUUGGCAGUUUAACCAAUUUAGGACAACAAUCGACAGUUAAUGAACUCAGGAGAGGAAAAUGUUCUCUACCAUUCACUGUUGUCCAUUCCUCCAAACAUAGCGCCUCACGUAUGCUGAGAACCUCGAGUGAUGGAAAAGAACUUUCCAUAUCACCAUAGAAGGUGUCGUCAAUAUACUUCAGAGCACUAAUUCUACAAAUAUUAAGGACCUUAAGGAAGCGCAAUUUCCCUAGAGGUGGUAGCUGAUGGCAUCUUUCACAGUAUCCUAGUGAGAUUUCAACAAGGUUUGGUAGAAGCAGAUCCAUCAUCCAAUACGGAAACAUCAAACCUUGGUAAUCAAUUAUACGUAACUUCUUCAAGUUUGAAUGAGGUUGGAGAGCACUAAGAAUCUCUUCAUCAUUUUGAUGAUGAGAGCUCUUGUUGCUGCUUAAUCGCCAAGAUAAGCUAAGUGAUCUUAAAUUGUGCUUCUUUAUCAAAUUUGCAUUUCUAGCUUCCAUUGAACUCUUCACGUUGUGAAGUCCUUUGAUGCUCAAUUCCCCCUCUAGGGCCAACCCCUUCAACUCAUCAAUGCUGCAACCAUCUUCCUUUCCCACAAUGAACAUGCUAAGCUUGCGCAAAAAAGACAGUUGUCCCAAUGCAACAGGCAUAGAAGUUAGUUCAUGGCAAUUCCUGAUGUCCAAGUACCUAAGAUUUUUCAAGUUCUUCGUACCUUUGGGUAACAUUUGAAGAUUGCAACAAUGUCUGAGGUUUAGUGUCUGCAAGUUAUGAAGAGAGCUUGUUGAUUCAGGUAAAGUUUUCACACGCAAACUGUGAAGGCAAAGAUACCUUAAGUGUUUCGAACUUUUAAAUGCAAUAUUGCUAAAAUUAAAACCAAAAUCCAACACCUUGAGAUACUUUUGUUUACUGAUGUAGCGGGAAAGAUUAGAGACGUUAACGGCAUGGCCAUGUAGGAUCAAAGAUUGCAGCGGUUGAAAUGUGGUGUAGUCCAUAACGUUUGUCGAUCGACUGCUAUUAUAAACAAACAAGUGACGAGCAGUUUUUGGAAUCUGUGACCCCUCAUUUGCCUCAAUCACACAGCACUCUUGUCCCAUAAUCGAUGUUGCGAGAUCAUGGAGGAGAUCAUGCAUUUUACAUGUAACAGUUCCAUCAACAUCCUCUUUGAUUUCUUGGAAAAAAGACCUCCAAGUUAAUUGAGAGAAUAUUUCACAACCCAUAUCAUGCAAAUCCAGUGCUCCUCGAGAAGGAAUAAAUCCAUUUGCCAUCCAUAGUCCCAUAAGCUCGUCCUUUGUCAUGACAGAAUCUUUGGGAAAUAUCGAGCAAAAUGAAAAACAUUGUCUCAUAUACGGUGGAAGAUGUUCAUAACUUAGCCUCAACGCAGCUAAGAUUCUGCUUCCCUCAUCUUCCAAAUCCCAUAUCUCACUAUCUUUGACACGUAACCAUUCACUUUCUUGACUUCUAAAACGCAAUAUGCUCCCUAUGGCCUUAAUUGCCAAUGGUACCCCUCCACAUCUCUGCACUAUUCGCCUCCCAAUGGUUUCCAGGUUCGCGUUGCUUCCAUUCAUUCCCAUCCCAAAGGCUCUUUGCUUGAACAAAGACCAAGAAUCAUCAUCCGACAAACAUCCCAAGCGAUAGAAAGGAGUUGUAGCCAUCAUAAGAGCAACAUUCUCGAGUCGAGUAGUGACAAUCACCGUACUUCCUUUCCGUCCACACUGUAGAGCUUGUUUCAAUCUAUCCCACUUGUCAUGGUACUCAUUCCACACAUCAUCUAGUACAAGCAAAAACCGUUUCCCAACAAGCUUCUCUGCUAAACACCGCUGCAGGGGAUCUAGCUCUUGGAUACCACACGAGUUCCCUCCAAAGGAUUCCACAAUCGCUUUAGUCAACCUUUUUAUAUCAAAAUCAUCUGAUACACACACCCAACCUCUCAAAUCGAAGACUUUCGCCACGUUUUCGUCAUUGAAAACCAAUUGAGCGAUUGUUGUCUUACCAAGACCCCCCAUUCCGCAUAUUGCAUAAACAGAGAGGUCAUCAUGGUGACUCUCAUUACAAAGUAACAUACCAACUAUCUUUUCCUUCUCAUCAGCUCUGCCAAGUACUUCCGAUUCUUUCACAAGGGAGCUGGUUUGCCUAUCCUCAUUCCGUUCAAUUUCAGCUUCUCCCACACCCUCUCUCAAGUGGAACUUACUUUUCUCUCCAGCAAUGGCAUCUAAUUUCUCCCUUACAUUCUUAAACUUACGUGCCAUAUCUAAGCGAAAAAAGAGCGGAUUUCGCAAAGAAAAGAAGGUGGUUACCUGGCUUCUUGCAUCCGUAUGCAGGCUACGACUUAGAGCUUCGGUGUUGAAAUCUUCGACCACAACUUCCAGAUCGUAAGCUGCUUGUUUGAGCUUCCCAAGCCAGUUCUUGAUAGCUUCACUCUUCCAUUGCUUCUCUGCAUCUUGGAGCACAGCUUGGAUUGUAGUAAGCGUACUUUCAAGACUCGCAACUUCUGUUUUGAGGCUCCCAGGAAGUUCCAGUUCUUUCAAGGACCACGACCUCAAGCUGUCCAAGAUGGUACCGACAAGGGGUGAAAGUAAUACCUCUGCCAUGUCCUAUCUCUCUUAAAAUUUCACAACCAGCAAAGUAGCAAUUGGUAACUAAGGAGCCAACUAUGGAUAUUCAAAGACGAAGAAAGAAACAAUUUCACAUAAAUUCGGAUCAGCCCGAAAGUGUAAACAAAGGAAAGCUACUGUUCCAGUUAGGGUUAGCAAUGGGUUGGAUUGACUUGAGCUGGUAUGCAUACUUGCAUAUGAACCAAACUUUUGACUAUGGCAAUAAAGUACGUGGAAAAAAAUGAAAGGAAGUGGGAACCAUUGAAAAUAAUGCAUAUGCGUGUAGGACCAAGUGUCAAGAAAUAAUAAAAUCCUUUAAAAGAUAUAAGAUGGUGAAUGCAAUUGCCAACAAAGUACAACAUUUAAUAUUAAGUUGAUAAGUUCAAUGAUAGAGCAAAUUAAAAUAUUUUUCAUAUUUUAUUAUUUUUAAAAUUUUAAAUAUAAUUUUUUAUUAUUUUUAAAGGGUUAAAUGGGUAAACUUAUGUAUGAAAAGGAUUGAAUUGUAAAUUUCAAGGUCCUUACUUUAUCCUCAAAUUUGCUUCUGAAUAUUAUCUUGGAUUUUAUAAAUAAUCUUGUAAAAUUUUAUUAAUAUCUAUCAAUGGAAUGAACAGCAAAGAGAAGAAUAUACACUAAAAAGUACAACUUGUAUAAAAGCUUAUCUUGUGUUGAUUUUAACUCAAAAUAUAGGGUCAAUUCUUUCAAUUUAUUAAAAUUUGAGAUUUAAUCUAGUUUAAAAAGUUAUUAAUUUUACUUUUUAAAUUAAAAAAUUUAAUUUAAUGAUGGAUACAAUUAGUAUUUUUCAUCAAAUAUCAUAUCUUAUUUCAUAAAAAUAACAUAAUCAACAUAGUAAAGUUCAAGUUUUGGGAAGAAAAAUAGUUGCCUUUCUUGUUCGAUAAUAUGUUUGUGUUAGGCUAAUUUAGAAGAAAAAAAAAAAUAAGACCCAAAGACAAGCUUAGAAGUAUGAUUAGCAAUUGCCAUAUAAUGCUUUGAAAUUUUUGGUGGCAUCUUCAAGGGAACCCAUUAUGGUUGCAGUACAUAAAAGUUCCAUUGGUGACGUUGGGGUAUGAAACGAGUUACGAUGUAUUCGUGAAAGCUCAUACAGGUGGGGUUUCGGGACAGGCACAAGCAAUCACACUCGGCAUUGCUCGUGCAUUGCUGAAGGUGAGUGCCGAUCAUAAGAGCCCGUUGAAGAAAGAAGGGCUUUUGACCAGAGAUUCAAAGGUGGUGGAGAGGAAGAAAGUUGGUCUCGAGAAGGCUCGUAAAGCUCCACAGUUUUCCAAACGUUAAGUGGAUGGAAAACCGGGGAUAUAUAUACAUCGCUUUCAUGGUUGGUUUGUAGAAAAUCUUUUCUUCUCAGUAACAUUUGCUGAUGAAUUUUUUUUACAAAAUUUCUAAAUUGUAGAAGAACCCCUUUUGAUAAUGUAGAUCUUGUUCUUGAUUGGUUGUGCUUAUGAACAUUUCUCUUGCAUUUCAUAUGAGGAAUGUUGAUCCUCAGUCUAUUGUUAAUUAAAGGGUAAAAGUACAGUUGAGGCAUAUGUAUUAUGAAUUAGAUUGCAUUUUGUCCUAUUUAUUACAUUAGAUCAAUAACUAAAUUGAUUUUUUUUGUUAAAAAUUUAUUCGAGUCAAAUUUUCAUCAUUAAGUGCAUUUAAAAUAGUUUCCUCUACAUGAAAUUUGUGUAAUGUAAUUGACAAAACAAUACCAUCCAAAAGGACAUUAAUUAAGAUUCACGUGUAAUGAAACUUAAGCCUAAAACAAUCUAAAAAGGAAAUCAAAACCCCAACAGCUGAACCUUUGCCAACAAAGCCACCAACAACAUGCCUAUGCACAGAUACAUAAUAGAGUUUAACAAAGUAAUGUGUGAUGACCAUAAGAAGUUAGACGCUAAAAUUAUUUGCCAUCUAUUUAUUCUUACCUACUCUUAUGGGGGAUAGAACUGGUCUAUAAACUUAAUGCAAUGUUUCUUUUUCUUUUUGAAAUCGCAGAAUAGAUCAUUGAAUUUAACAAAAUUCUUCACUCACCAAUGUUUCUUUGCCUGAAAAUGUAUUUAGAUAAUUAUAUCCCAGAUUCAUCAAAUGAAAACUAUUAAUAACAUAUAUGAAUGAAUGAUACCGCAGAUGUAAAGAUCCUUAUUCACAAAAAUGUAAUGCUCAAAUCCUUUUUACAUAACUCUUGAAUGUGAUUCAAACUAUGAAUAUUCUUAUUUAAAAUUAAAAUUCAAAAGUAGAGAAUCACCUAGUUAAGGAUUUCAAUGAAUGGAAUGUGGGCUAUGUUGGGCCAAUCUUCUCCUCUCACUUUCUUACAUCGUCUUUGCAGAUGGGGGCAUCCAUAGAUCCUUAGCGCUUGUAGCGUAGUGAGGUUAUGAACCCCUUGGGGCAAUGACAUCAAAUUAGAGCAAUUUAUUAUGGAAAAUUCCGAAAGCAAGGAGAGGUGUUGCAUCUCAUCUGGGAGAGAAAUUAAACCCCUACAACACCUAAUCUGCAGAUAUCGAAGAGAAGAGAGGUGUUGGAUACUCCUUGGCAAUGAGGUUAACUCUGGACAUUCAUUAAUAAGUAAGUCUUGGAGUGAAGUCAGAUAUCGCAUCCCCUCAGGUAAAGAGGCUAAUGUCUUACAAUGUUGAACCCGCAGUGAACACAAGGAAGAUAAGCGUUGCAAUCCAUUUACCGGAAGCGAUACAAGGCUGUCACAAAAAUUUAAAUCCAAAGUUUCUAAGGAGCUGAGGUUUUGAAGUCCUGCAGGCAAGCUUUCAAUUGAGCAAGCUUGAAUAUCCAAGUAUUUAAGGCAGGAUAGAUUAUCCAGCAGAUCAGAUGAAGACUUUAGACUACAAUAAAAAACAUUCAACCUAUCAAGUUGCUUUUGAUUUUUUAGUAGUUCAUCCGGUAACUCGUUGAAGUCGCUAAUCCGGAGAGAGGUAAGAACAGUGGCAUUCAUAAUCAAAGAUGUGAGUAAAGUAACAUUAGUUUCUCCAAUAUGUAGCUCUUUUAGAGAUUGAAUCAUUGGCAGUUUAACCAAUUUAGGACAACAAUCGACAGUUAAUGAACUCAGGAGAGGAAAAUGUUCUCUACCAUUCACUGUUGUCCAUUCCUCCAAACAUAGCGCCACACGUAUGCUGAGAACCUCGAGUGAUGGAAAAGAACUUUCCAUAUCACCAUAGAAGGUGUCGUCAAUAUACUUCAGAGCACUAAUUCUACAAAUAUUAAGGACCUUAAGGAAGCGCAAUUUCCCUAGAGGUGGUAGCUGAUGGCAUCUUUCACAGUUUCCUAGUGAGAUUUCAACAUGGUUUGGUAGAAGCAGAUCCAUCAUCCAAUAUGGAAACAUCAAACCUUGGUAACCAAUUAUGCGUAACUUGAAGGUUGAAUGAGGUUGGAGAGCACAAAGAAUCUCUUUAUCAUUUUGAUGAUGAGAGUUACUCGUUGCGAUUUCCUCGCCAAGAUAAGCUAAGUGAUCUUAAUUGUGCUUCUUUAUCAAAUUUGCCUUUUUAGCUUCCAUCGCACUCUUCACGUUGGUUAGUCCUUUGAUGCUCAGUUCCCCCUCUAGGGCCAACUCUUUCAACUCAUCAAUGCCGCAACCAUCUUUCUUUCCCAAAAUGAAUAUGCUAAGCUUGCGCAAAAAAGACAAUUGUCCCAAUGCAACAGGCAUAGAAGUUAGUGUAUGGCAACCUCUGAUGUCCAAGUACCUAAGAUUUUUCAAGUUCUUCGUACCUUUGGGUAACAUUUUAUGACUGCCACAAUCUUUGAGGCUUAGUGUCUGCAAGUUAAGAAGAGAGCUUGUUGAUUCAGGUAAAGUUUUCACAGUAGAAUUGUGAAGGUACAGAUACCUCAAGUGUUUCGAAAUUUUAAAUUCAAUAUUGCUCAUAUAAAAACCCAAAUGCAACACCUUGAGAUACUUUUGUUUACUGAUGAAACGGGAAGGAUUAGAGUGGUUAAAGUAACCAUCGCCGCAUAGGAUCAAAGAUUGCAGCUGCUGCAAUGUGGUUAAGUCCAUAAUGUUUGUCGAUGGACUGAUAUUAUAAUGAUAAACAAACAAGUGAGGAGCAGUUUUUGGAAUUUGUGACAUCUCAUUUGGCUCAAUCACACAGCACUCUUGUCUCAUAAUCGAUGUUGCAAGAUCAUGGAUGAGAUCAUGCAUUUUACAUGCAACAGUUCCAUCAACAUCCUCUUCAAUUUCUUGAAAAAAGGACCUCCAAGUUAAUUCAGAGAAUAUUUCACAACCCAUAUCAUGCAAAUCCAAUGCUCCUCGAGAAGGAAUAAAUCCAUUUGCCAUCCAUAGUGCUAAAAGCUUGUCCUUCGUCAUGACAGAAUCUUUGGGAAAUAUCGAGCAAAAUGAAAAACAUUGUCUCAUAUACGGUGGAAGAUGUUCAUGACUUAGCCUCAACACAGCUAUGAUUCUGCUUCCCUCAUCUUCCAAAUCCCAUAUCUUGACUUCUAAAACGAAAUAUGCUUCCCAUGGCCUUAAUUGCCAACGGUACGCCUCCACAUCUCUGCACUACUUGCCUCCCAAUGGUUUCCAGGUUCGCGUUGCUUCCGUUCGUUCCCAUACCAAAGGAUCUUUGCUUGAAUAAAGACUUAAGAUCGUUGCAUUAGUUAGAUACCUUUUCUAAUAAAUAUCCUAUGGAGUCUUUACUAAUUUUUUCAUAACAUAUAUACCCUAUUCUUACCAUUUACAUGAUCAAUGAAAUCCAAUUCCAAAUAUUGAAAUCCAUGUACCCUACCGUGCUUAAAAGAAUUCGAAAAGUCUAAUAAUAUUAAAAAGGGUUAUAAAAUAAAAAAUUUCAUUAUAAUUUUUCGUAUAAUUUUAUUAAAAGAUUAUUUACGUUCCAAUAAAUAAUUAAAAAAUUGGGACAUAUAUUUGAGUAUGACUCAAUAUGAUAAUACUUGAGUCUAAAAUAAUCUAAAGGAAAAACUACACAUGGUGUGAUUCAAACUCGACACAUCAAAGCCUCAGCACCUCAACCUUUAUCAACGAAGCGACCAAUAACAUGCCUAUGCACAUAUAUAUAUAUAUAAUAGAGUUUAACAAAGUUACGUGUGAUGAGCAUAAGAAGUUAGAAACUAAAAUUAUUUGCCAUCUAUUUAUUCAUACCUGCUCUUAUUGGGGGAUAGAAUUGGUCUGCGAAUUUAAUGCAAUCUUGUCUUUUUUCUUCAAAUUGCAAAAUAGAUCCUCGAAUUUAACAAAAGUUGUCACUCACCAAUCCUGAAAAUGUAUUUAGACAAUCAUAUCAUAAAUUCAUCAAAUGAAAACUAUUAAUAAUAGAUAUGAAUGAAAUGAUCCUGCAGAUGCAGAGAUCCUUAUUCACAAAAAUGUAAAUGUCAAAUCCUUUUUACAUAAUUCUUGAAUAUGAUUCAAAUUAAGAAUUUUCUUAUUUAAAAUUAAAAUUCAAAAGUAGAGAAUCACCUGGUUAGAGAUUUCAAUGGACGGAAUGUGGGCUAUGUUGGGCCAAUCCUCUCCUCUCCCUUUCUUACACCGUCGUUUCAGGUGGGGGCAUCCUCUGAUUCUUAGUUUUUUCAGAGCAUUGAGGUUACGUACCCCUUGGGGCAAUGACAUCAAAUUAGAGCAACUCCUUAUCUCCAAUAAUGAAAGCAGGUUGAGGUGUUGUAUCUCAUCUGGGAGAGAAAUUAAACCUCUACAAGACCAAAUCCGCAGACUUUGAAGAGAAGAGAGGUGUUGGAUACUCCUUGGCAAUGAGGUCAACUCUGGACAUCCAUUAAUAAGUAAGUCUUGGAGUGAAGUCAGAUAUCCCACACCCUCAGAUAAAGAGGCUAAUGUCUUACAAUUUUGAAUCUGUAGUGAAGAUAAGGAAGAUAAGCCUUGCAAUCCAUUUACCGGAAGGGAUACAAGGCUGUCACAACAAUUUAAAAACAAAGUUUUUAAAGAGCUGAGGUUUUGUAGUCCUGCAGGCAAGCUUUCAAUUGAGCAACCUUGAAUAUCCAAGUAUUUAAGGCGGGAUAGAUUAUCCAGCAGAUCGGAUGAAGACUUUAGACUACAAGAAAGAACAUUCAACGAAUCAAGUUGCUUUUGAUUUUGCAGUAGUCCAUCCGGUAACUCGUUGAAGCCACUAAUCACGAGAGAGGUAAGAACAGUGGCAUUCAUAAUCAAAGGUGCGAGUAAAGUAACAUUAGUUCCUCUAAUAUGUAGCUGUUUUAGAGAUUGAAUCAUUGGCAGUUUAACCAACUUAGGACAAGAUUCGAUAGUUAAUGAACUCAGGAGAGGAAAAUGUUCUCUACCAUUCACUGUUGUCCAUUCCUCCAAACAUAGCGCCACACGUAUGCUGAGAACCUCGAGUGAUGGAAAAGAACUUUCCAUAUCACCAUAGAAGGUGUCGUCAAUAUACUUCAGAGCACUAAUUCUACAAAUAUUAAGGACCUUAAGGAAGCGCAAUUUCCCUAGAGGUGGCAGCUGAUGGCAUCUUUCACAGUUUUCUAGUGAGAUUUCAACAAGGUUUGGUAGAAGCAGAUCCAUCAUCCAAUACGGAAACAUCAAACCUUGGUAAUCAAUUAUACGUAACUUCUUCAAGUUUGAAUGAGGUUGGAGAGCACUAAGAAUCUCUUCAUCAUUUUGAUGAUGAGAGCUCUUGUUGCUGCUUAAUCGCCAAGAUAAGCUAAGUGAUCUUAAAUUGUGCUUCUUUAUCAAAUUUGCAUUUCUAGCUUCCAUUGAACUCUUCACGUUGUGAAGUCCUUUGAUGCUCAAUUCCCCCUCUAGGGCCAACCCCUUCAACUCAUCAAUGCCGCAACCAUCUUCCUUUCCCACAAUGAACAUGCUAAGCUUGCGCAAAAAAGACAGUUGUCCCAAUGCAACAGGCAUAGAAGUUAGUGCAUCGCAAUUUCUGAUGUCCAAGUACCUAAGAUUUUUCAAGUUCUUCGUACCUUUGGGUAACAUUUGAAGAUUGUAACAAUCUCCUAGGUUUAGUGUCUGCAAGUUAUGAAGAAAGCUUGUUGAUUCAGGUAAAGUUUUCACAUGAGAACCGUGAAGGCAAAGAUACCUCAAGUGUUUCGAACUUUUAAAUGCAAUAUUGCUACUAUUAAAACCCAUAUCCAACACCUUGAGAUACUUUUGUUUACUGAUGUAACGGGAAAGAUUAGAAAAGUUAAUGUCAUAGCCAUGUAGGAUCAAAGAUUGCAGCGGUUGCAAUGUGGUGAAGUCCAUAACGUUUGUCGAUCGACUGCUAUUAUAAACAAACAAGUGACGAGCAGUUUUUGGAAUCUGUGACCCCUCAGUUGCCUCAAUCACACAGCACUCUUGUCCCAUAAUCGAUGUUGCGAGAUCAUGGAUGAGAUCAUGCAUUUUACAUGUAACAGUUCCAUCAACAUCCUCUUUGAUUUCUUGAAAAAAGGAUCUCCAAGUUAAUUCAGAGAAUAUUUCACAACCCAUAUCAUGCAAAUCCAAUGCUCCUCGAGAAGGUAUAAAUCCAUUUGCCAUCCAUAGUCCUAUAAGCUUAUUCUUUUCCAUGACAAAAGCUUUGGGAAAUAUCGAGCAAAAUGAAAAACAUUGUCUCAUAUACGGUGGAAGAUGGUCAUAACUUAGCCUCAGCACAGCUAAGAUUCUGCUUCCCUUAUCUUCCAAAUCCCAUAUCUCACUAUCUUUGACACGUAACCAUUCACUUUCUUGACUUCUAAAACGCAAUAUGCUCCCUAUGGCCUUAAUUGCCAAUGGUACACCUCCACAUCUCUGUACUAUUCGCCUCCCAAUGGUUUCCAGGUUCGCGUUGCUUCCAUUCAUUCCCAUCCCAAAGGCUCUUUGCUUGAACAAAGACCAAGAAUCAUCAUCCGACAAACAUCCCAAGCGAUAGAAAGGAGUUGUAGCCAUCAUAAGAGCAACAUUCUCGAGUCGAGUAGUGACAAUCACCGUACUUCCUUUCCGUCCACACUGUAAAGCUUGUUUUAAUCUAUCCCACUUGUCAUGGUACUCAUUCCACACAUCAUCUAGUACGAGCAUAAACCGUUUCCCAAGAAGCUUCUCUGCUAAACACCGCUGCAGGGUAUCUAGCUCUUGGAUACCACACGAGUUCCCUCCGAAGGAUUCCACAAUCGCUUUAGUCAACCUUUUUAUAUCAAAAUCAUCAGAUACACACACCCAACCUCUCAAAUCGAAGACUUUCGCCACGUUUUCGUCAUUGAAAACCAAUUGAGCGAUUGUUGUCUUACCAAGACCCCCCAUUCCGCAUAUUGCAUAAACAGAGAGGUCAUCAUGGUGACUCUCAUUACAAAGUAACAUACUAACUAUCUUUUCCUUCUCAUCAGCUCUGCCAAGUACUUCCGAUUCUUUCACAAGGGAGCUGGUUUGCCUAUCCUCAUUCCGUUCAAUUUCAGCUUCUCCCACACCCUCUCUCAAGUGGAACUUACUUUUCUCCCCAGCAAUGGCAUCUAAUUUCUCCCUUACAUUCUUAAACUUACGUGCCACAUCUAAGCGAAACGAGAGCGGAUUCCGCAAAGAAAAGAAGGUGGUUACCUGGCUUCUUGCAUCCGUAUGCAGGCUACGACUUAGAGCUUCGGUGUUGAAAUCUUCGAGCACAGCUUCCAGAUCGUAAGCUGCUUGUUUGAGCUUCACAAGCCAGUUCUUGAUAGCUUCACUCUUCCAUUGCUUCUCCUCUGCAUCUUGGAGCACAGCUUGGAUUGUAGUAAGCGUACUUUCAAGACUCGCAACUUCUGUUUUGAGGCUCCCAGCAAGUUCCAGUUCUUUCAAGGACCACGACUUCAAGCCGUCCAAGAUGGUACCGACAAGGGGUGAAAGUAAUACCUCUGUCAUGUCCUAUCUCUCUUAAAAUUUCACAACCAGCAAAGGAGCAAUUGGUAACUAAGGAACCAACUAUGGAUAUUCAAAGACAAAGAAAGAAACAAUUUCACAUAAAUUGGGAUCAGCCUGAAAGAGUAAACAAAGAAAAGCUACUGUUUCCAGUUAGGGUUAGAAUGGGUUGGAUUGACUUGAGCUUGCAUGCAUAAUUGCAUAUGAACCAAACUUUUGACUAUGGCAAUAAAGUAUGUGGAAAAAAAUGAAAGGAAGUAGGAACCAUUGCAAAUAAUGCAUAUGCGUGUAGGACCAAGUGUCAAGAAUAAUAAAAUCCAUUAAAAGAUAUAAGAUGGUGAAUGCAAUUGCCAACAAAGUACAACAUUUAAUAUUAAGUUGAUAAGUUCAAUGAUAGAGCAAAUUAAAAUAUUUUUCAUAUUUUAUUAUUUUUAAAAUUUUAAAUAUAAAUUUUUAUGAUUUUUAAAGGGUUAAAAGGGUAAGCUUAUUUUUAAAAGGACUAAAUUGUAAAUUUCAAGGUGCUUAUUUUACGGUCAAAUUUGCUUCUGAAUAUUAUCUUGGAUUUUAUAAAUAAAUCUUGUAAAAUUUUAUUAAUAUCUAUCAAUGGAAUGAUCAGCAAAGAGACGAAUAUUCACUAAAAAGUACAACUUUUAUAAAAGCUUAUCUUGUGUUGAUUUUAACUCAAAAUAUAGGGUCAAUUCUUUCAAUUUAUUAAAAUUUGAGAUUUAAUCUAGUUUAAAAAGUUAUUAUUUUUACUUUUUAAAUUAAAAAAUUAAUUUAAUGAUGGAUACAAUUAUUAUUUUUCAUUAAAUAUCAUAUCUUAUUUCAUAAAAAUAACAUAAUCAACAUAAUAAAAUUCUAAGUUUUGGGAAAAAAAUAGUUGCCUUUCUUGUUCGAUAAUAUGUUUGUGUUAAGCUAAUUUAGAAGAAAAAUAAAUAAAAUCCAAAGACAAGCUUAGAAGUAUGAUUAGCAAUUGCCGUAUAAUGCUUUGAAAUUUUUGGUUGAGGAGUAUCUUCAAGGGAACCCAUUAUGGUUGCAGUACAUAAAAGUUCCAUUGGUGACGUUGGGGUAUGAAACGAGUUACGAUAUAUUCGUGAAAGCUCAUGCAGGUGGGAUUUCAGGAUAGGCACAAGUAAUCACACUCGGCAUUGGUCGUGCAUUGCUGAAGGUGAGUGCCGAUCGUAGGAGCCCAUUGAAGAAAGAAGGGCUUUUGACCAGAGAUUCGAGGGUGGUGGAGAGGAAGAAAGUUGGUCUCAAGAAGGCUCGUAAAGCUCCACAAUUUUCCAAACGUUAAGUGGAUGGAAAACUGGGGAUAUAUAUACAUUGCUUUCAUGGUUGGUUUGUAGAAAAUCUUUUCUUCUCACUAACAUUUGUUGAUGAAUUUUUUUUACAAAAUUCUAAAUUGUAGAAGAACCCCUUUUGAUAAUACAGAUCUUGUUCUUGAUUGGUUGUGCUUAUGAACAUUUCUCUUGCAUUUCAUGUGAGGAAUGUUGAUCCUCAGUCUAUUGUUACUUAAUGGGUAAAAGUAUGAUUGUGGCAUAUUAUCAAUAAGUAAAUUGAUUUUCUUUUUAUUAAAAAUUUAUUCGUUUCAACUGUCGAGUCAAAUUUUAUCAUUAAGUGCAUUUAAAAUAACUUCACCUACAUGAAAUUUGUGUAAUGCAAUUGACAAAACAAUACUAUCCAAAGGGCCAUUAAUUAAGAUUCACAUAUAAUGAAACUUAAGCCUAAAACAAUCUAAAAAGGAAAUCAAAACCCCAACAGCUCAACCUUUGUCAACAAAACCACCACCAACAUGCUUAUGCACAGAUACAUAAUAGAGUUCAACAAAGUUAUGUGUGAUGACCAUAAAAAGUUAGAAGCUAUAAUUAUUUGCCAUCUAUUUAUUCUUACCUACUCUUAUGGGGGAUAGAAGUGGUUUAUGAACUUAAUGCAAUGUUUCUUUUUCUUUUUGAAAUCGCAGAAUAGAUCAUAGAAUUUAACAAAAUUCCUCACUCACCAAUGUUGCUUUGUUUGAAAAUGUAUUUAGAUAAUUAUAUCCCAGAUUCAUCAAAUGAAAACUAUUAAUAAUAUAUAUGAAUGGAUGAUAAGUUGAUAACCGCAGAUGUAAAGAUCCUUAUUCACAAAAAUGUAAUGCUCAAAUCCUUUUUACAUAACUCUUGAAUGUGAUUCAAACUAAGAAUAUUCUUAUUUAAAAGUAAAAUUCAAAAGUAGAGAAUCACCUAGUUAAGGAUUUCAAUGAAUGGAAUGUGGGCUAUGUUGGGCCAAUCUUCUCCUCUCACUUUCUUACAUCGUCUUUGCAGAUGGGGGCAUCCAUAGAUCCUUAGCGCUUGUAGCGUAGUGAGGUUAUGAACCCCUUGGGGCAAUGACAUCAAAUUAGAGCAAUUUAUUAUGGAAAAUUCCGAAAGCAAGGAGAGGUGUUGCAUCUCAUCUGGGAGAGAAAUUAAACCCCUACAACACCUAAUCUGCAGAUAUCGAAGAGAAGAGAGGUGUUGGAUACUCCUUGGCAAUGAGGUUAACUCUGGACAUUCAUUAAUAAGUAAGUCUUGGAGUGAAGUCAGAUAUCGCAGUCCCUAAGAUAAAGAGGCUUAUGUCUUACAAUGUUGAACCCGCAGUGAACACAAGGAAGAUAAGCGUUGCAAUCCAUUUACCGGAAGCGAUACAAGGCUGUCACAAAAAUUUAAAUCCAAAGUUUCUAAGGAGCUGAGGUUUUGAAGUCCUGCAGGCAAGCUUUCAAUUGAGCAAGCUUGAAUAUCCAAGUAUUUAAGGCAGGAUAGAUUAUCCAGCAGAUCAGAUGAAGACUUUAGACUACAAUAAAAAACAUUCAACCUAUCAAGUUGCUUUUGAUUUUUUAGUAGUUCAUCCGGUAACUCGUUGAAGUCGCUAAUCCGGAGAGAGGUAAGAACAGUGGCAUUCAUAAUCAAAGAUGUGAGUAAAGUAACAUUAGUUUCUCCAAUAUGUAGCUCUUUUAGAGAUUGAAUCAUUGGCAGUUUAACCAAUUUAGGACAACAAUCGACAGUUAAUGAAGUCAGGAGAGGAAAAUGUUCUCUACCAUUCACUGUUGUCCAUUCCUCCAAACAUAGCGCCACACGUAUGCUGAGAACCUCGAGUGAUGGAAAAGAACUUUCCAUAUCACCAUAGAAGGUGUCGUCAAUAUACUUCAGAGCACUAAUUCUACAAAUAUUAAGGACCUUAAGGAAGCGCAAUUUCCUUAGAGGUGGUAGCUGAUGGCAUCUUUCACAGUUUGCUAGUGAGAUUUCAACAAGGUUUGGUAGAAGCAGAUCCAUCAUCCAAUACGGAAACAUCAAACCUUGGUAACCAAUUAUGCGUAACUUCUUCAAGGUUGAAUGAGGUUAGAGAGCACAAAAGAACCUCUUCAUCAUUUUGAUGAUGAGAGUUCUCGUUGCGAUUUCCUUGCCAAGAUAAGCUAAGUGAUCUUAAAUUGUGCUUCUUUAUCAAAUUUGCCAUUUUAGCUUCCAUCGCACUCUUCACGUUGGUUAGUCCUUUGAUGCUCAGUUCCCCCUCUAGGGCCAACUCUUUCAACUCAUCAAUGCCGCAACCAUCUUUCUUUCCCAAAAUGAAUAUGCUAAGCUUGCGCAAAAAAGACAAUUGUCCCAAUGCAACAGGCAUAGAAGUUAGUGUAUGGCAACCUCUGAUGUCCAAAUACCUAAGAUUUUUCAAGUUCUUCGUACCUUUGGGUAACAUUUUAAGACUGCCACAAUCUUUGAGGCUUAGUGUCUGCAAGUUAAGAAGAGAGCUUGUUGAUUCAGGUAAAGUUUUCACAGUAGAAUUGUGAAGGUACAGAUACCUCAAUUGUUUCGAAAUUUUAAAUUCAAUAUUGCUCAUAUAAAAACCCAAAUGCAACACCUUGAGAUACUUUUGUUUACUGAUGAAACGUGAAGGAUUAGAGUGGUUAAAGUAACCAUCGCCGCAUAGGAUCAAAGAUUGCAGCGGUUGCAAUGUGGUUAAGUCCAUAAUGUUUGUCGAUGGACUGAUAUUAUAAUUAUAAACAAACAAGUGAGGAGCAGUUUUUGGAAUUUGUGACACCUCAUUUGGCUCAAUCACACAGCACUCGUCUCAUAAUCGAUGUUGCAAGACCAUGGAUGAGAUCAUGCAUUUUACAUGUAACAGUUCCAUCAACAUCCUCUUCAAUUUCUUGAAAAAAGGAAUAAAUCCAUUUGCCAUCCAUAGUGCUAAAAGCUUGUCCUUUGUCAUGACAGAAUCUUUGGGAAAUAUCGAGCAAAAUGAAAAACAUUGUCUCAUAUACGGUGGAAGAUGUUCAUGACUUAGCCUCAACACAGCUAUGAUUCUGCUUCCCUCAUCUUCCAAAUCCCAUAUCUCACUAUCUUUGACAUGUAACCAUUCACUUUCUUGACUUCUAAAACGCAAUAUGCUUCCUAUGGCCUUAACUGCCAACGGUACCACUCCACAUCUCUGCACUAAUUGCCUCCCAGUGGUUUCCAGGUUCGCGUUGCUUCCAUUCAUUCCCAUCCCAAAGGCUCUUUGCUUGAAUAAAGACCAAGAAUCAUCAUCAGACAAACAUCCCAAGCGAUAGAAAGGAGUUGUAGCCAUCAUAAGAGCAGCUUUCUCGAGUCGAGUAGUGACAAUCACCGUACUUCCUACCGUGCAUAAAAGAAUUCGAGAAGUCUAAUAAUAUUAAAAAGGGUGAUAAAAUAAAAAAUGUCAUUAUAAUUUUUCGUAUAAUUUUAUUAAAAUAUUAUUUACGUUCCAAUAAAUAAUUCGAAAAUUGGGACAUAUAUUUGAGUAUGACUCAAUAUGAUAAUACUUAAGUCUAAAAUAAUCUAAAGAAAAAACUACACAUGGUGUGAUUCAAACUCGACACAUCAAAGCCUCAGCACCUCAACCUUUAUCAACGAAGCGACCAAUAACAUGCCUAUGCACAUAUAUAUAUAUAAUAGAGUUUAACAAAGUUACGUGUGAUGAGCAUAAGAAGUUAGAAACUAAAAUUAUUUGCCAUCUAUUUAUUCAUACCUGCUCUUAUUGGGGGAUAGAAUUGGUCUGCGAAUUUAAUGCAAUGUUGUCUUUUUUCUUCAAAUUGCAAAAUAGAUCCUCGAAUUUAACAAAAGUUGUCACUCACCAAUCCUGAAAAUGUAUUUAGACAAUCAUAUCAUAAAUUCAUCAAAUGAAAACUAUUAAUAAUAGAUAUGAAUGAAAUGAUCCUGCAGAUGCAGAGAUCCUUAUUCACAAAAAUGUAAAUGUCAAAUCCUUUUUACAUAAUUCUUGAAUAUGAUUAAAAUUAAGAAUAUUCUUAUUUAAAAUUAAAUUUCAAAAGUAGAGAAUCACCUGGUUAAAGAUGUCAUUGGACGGAAUGUGGACUAUGUUGGGCCAAUCCUCUCCUCUCACUUUCUUACACCGUCUUUCAGGUGGGGGCAUCCUCUGAUUCUUAGUGUUUCCAGAGCAUUGAGGUUACGUACCCCUUGGGGCAAUGACAUCAAAUUAGAGCAACCAUUUAUAUCCAAUAAUGAAAGCAAGGUGAGGUGUUGUAUCUCAUCUGGGAGAGAAAUUAAAC